rnacentral:sRNA from 1 species
AUGACCAUUCGUAAACACAGGUUUCUGCGCGCCGCCUGCACUCGCUGACGACCGCUCGCGGCGUUUUGUUAGCC